CUUCUUUCCUUCCCUCAUUCCUUUCCUUUCUCUGGUUGGAUGUUGUAAGUAUCUGGGAAAGAAUGCAAGUGGUCGACCCACAAAGAAAUGAAAAGGGAAGAAAAAGGUGGCUUGGAUGAAAGCAUCAAUCAAUUUUCUUCUU
rnacentral:ribozyme from 1 species